rnacentral:rRNA from 1 species
UUUAAUGGAGAGUUUGAUCCUGGCUCAGGACGAACGCUGGCGGCGUGCCUAAUACAUGCAAGUCGUGCGGGUGAAGCCGACCACCCCUUCGGGGGCGGAUGGCGGAACCAGCGGCGGACGGGUGAGUAACACGUGGGCAACCUGCCUGCAAGACCGGGAUAACUGCGGGAAACCGGAGCUAAUACCGGAUAAGAGGCUUUUCCGCAUGGGGGAGCCUUAAAAGGCGGCGGAAGUCGUCACUUGCAGAUGGGCCCGCGGCGCAUUAGCUAGUUGGUGAGGGAAGGGCUCACCAAGGCGACGAUGCGUAGCCGACCUGAGAGGGUGACCGGCCACACUGGGACUGAGACACGGCCCAGACUCCUACGGGAGGCAGCAGUAGGGAAUUUUCGGCAAUGGGGGGAACCCUGACCGAGCAACGCCGCGUGAGCGAGGACGGCCUUCGGGUUGUAAAGCUCUGUCAUGUGGGAAGAACGGCUAGGAGAGGGCAUGCUCUUAGCGUGACGGUACCACAGGAGGAAGCCCCGGCUAACUACGUGCCAGCAGCCGCGGUAACACGUAGGGGGCGAGCGUUGUCCGGAAUUAUUGGGCGUAAAGGGCGCGCAGGCGGUCUCUUAAGUCUGAUGUGAAAGGCCACGGCUCAACCGUGGGAUGGCAUUGGAAACUGGGGGACUUGAGUGCAGGAGAGGGGAGCGGAAUUCCCGGUGUAGCGGUGAAAUGCGUAGAGAUCGGGAGGAACACCAGUGGCGAAGGCGGCUCUCUGGCCUGUAACUGACGCUGAGGCGCGAAAGCGUGGGGAGCGAACAGGAUUAGAUACCCUGGUAGUCCACGCCGUAAACGAUGAGUGCUAGGUGUUAGGGGCGUCACGCCCUUAGUGCCGAAGUAAACACAUUAAGCACUCCGCCUGGGGAGUACGGCCGCAAGGC